rnacentral:ncRNA from 1 species
UGGCGAGGACGACCUCGUCGGCGUUUCUCUCCCACGGGACGACCCGC